rnacentral:rRNA from 1 species
UACGUAGGGUGCAAGCGUUGUCCGGAAUUAUUGGGCGUAAAGAGCUCGUAGGCGGUUUGUCGCGUCGGCUGUGAAAACCUGGGGCUCAACCCCGGGCCUGCAGCCGAUACGGGCAAACUAGAAUUCGGUAGGGGAGACUGGAAUUCCUGGUGUAGCGGUGAAAUGCGCAGAUAUCAGGAGGAACACCGGUGGCGAAGGCGGGUCUCUGGGCCGAUAUUGACGCUGAGGGGCGAAAGCGUGGGGAGCGAGCAGG